rnacentral:rRNA from 1 species
CCUACGGGAGACAGCAGUGAGGAAUAUUGGGCAAUGGACGAGAGUCUGAACCAGCCAAGUAGCGUGAAGGAUGACUGCCCUAUGGGUUGUAAACUUCUUUUAUGUGGGAAUAAAACAGGGUAUACAUACCCUCUAGUCUAUACCAUAUGAAUAAGGAUCGGCUAACUCCGUGCCAGCAGCCGCGGUAAUACGGAGGUUCCGAGCGUUAUCCGGAUUUAUUGGGUUUAAGGGGAGCGUAGGUGGAUUGUUAAGUCAGUUGUGAAAGUUUGCGGCUCAACCGUAAAAUUGCAGUUGAAACUGGCAGUCUUGAGUACAGGAGAGGUGGGCGGAAUUCGUGGUGUAGCGGUGAAAUGCUUAGAUAUAACGAAGAACUCCGAUGGCGAAGGCAGCUUACUGGACUGCAACUGACACUGAGGCUCGAAAGUGUGGGUAUCAAACAGGAUUAGAUACCCUAGUAGUC